GUUUAACCCGGCACGGUCAGGCAUCCCCGGCUUUGUCUCCGCUCACGCUACGGCCAAUACUCGCACGUUCCUGGAGAAGGGAACUCCAGCUGGAUGCGAGAGGGAAGCUGCAGACGCAGGCUGGCUGCGGGAGCCCGCAGAAGGAAGGGGUGACUGCUCCUGCCCUGUGCUCUUUAACUCUCCUCAGCAAAUUGCAUUAGGAUGUGACAAAUUGGCUCGCGAAGCAGGUAAAUGGAGAUGACAUUUGGAGCGGUUUGCCGGGCAGACCCUGUGGAGUCGCAGGGAGAUGUGUGAUUUGCAGCCUCUUCCCGGCAUCUCCCAUUUAGGUGCCGCCACGAGGCUUUCCAGAACUUACUUUGGGAACUCCUGUUGCAGCUAAAUGUGGGAGUCUCGAGCAUGCCUGGGAAAGGUUGCCCAAAAGCUAGGGCAGAUGUAGGUGCAGACUGUCUCAUGCCGUGGGCAGCUGAGAUGAGGAGCUGAACCGGGAGAGAAAGCAAAGCCGAUAUUUAGAAAUUGCGUGAGUGGUGAGGAGCUGAAGGUGGGAAGCUGGGCUGGCUUUGGGUGCCAACGUGACGCUCUGCUGGGGGAGUGGGGACACCUUUAUUCACCCAUGGGGGAGCAGGAACACUUUUGUUUACCCAGGGAUGAUCCUGGGAGUGCA
rnacentral:lncRNA from 1 species